rnacentral:rRNA from 1 species
AAUCUGGGGUCUGCGACCCCCGAGUUGUAAUCUCGAGAGGCCACCUCCGGGAGGGUCCCGGCACGUGUUCCUUGGAACAGGACGUCAGAGAGGGUGAGAAUCCCGUUCAUUGCCGCGCGGCUGCUCCCUCCGUGAGGCGCCUUCGACGAGUCGAGUUGUUUGGGAAUGCAGCUCCAAGUGGGUGGUAAAUUUCAUCUAAGGCUAAAUACUGGCGGGAGACCGAUAGCGCACAAGUAGAGUGAUCGAAAGAUGAAAAGCACUUUGAAAAUAGAGUUAAAAAGUACGUGAAAUUGUUGAAAGGGAAGCGCUUGAGACCAGACUCAGGGCGGGGCAAACAGCCUUGCCCCCGACCGGGCGGCGCACUUGCCCCGACCCUGGGCCAGCAUCAGUUGGUGUGGCGGGACAAAGGCGCGGGGAACGUGCCUCCCCCUCGAGGGAGGGUUAUAGCCCGGCGUCCGAUGCCGCCGACACCGACUGAGGACCGCGCUUCGGCCAGGAUGCUGGCUCAAUGGUCCCCAGCGACCCGUCUUGAAACACGGACCAAGGAGUCUAACAUCUAUGCGAGUGUUUGGGCAUCAAACCCUUACGCGCAAUGAAAGUGAGCCGAGGUGGGAACCCGCCCCGAUCGGCGGGCGCACCAUCGACCGAUCCCGAUGUUCUCGGAAGGAUUUGAGUA